UGGGAUAGCUCAGUCAAUAGAGCAUCAGACUCCUGAUCUCAAGGUCAUGGGUUUGAGCCCCUUAUAGGAGAACAG